rnacentral:rRNA from 1 species
ACCGGGGCUAAUACCGGAUACGACCAUCGCAGGCAUCUGUUGGUGGUGGAAAGUUCCGGCGGCUGGGGAUGGGCCCGCGGCCUAUCAGCUUGUUGGUGGGGUGAUGGCCUACCAAGGCGACGACGGGUAGCCGGCCUGAGAGGGCGACCGGCCACACUGGGACUGAGACACGGCCCAGACUCCUACGGGAGGCAGCAGUGGGGAAUAUUGCGCAAUGGGCGAAAGCCUGACGCAGCGACGCCGCGUGAGGGAUGACGGCCUUCGGGUUGUAAACCUCUUUCAGCUCCGACGAAGCGCAAGUGACGGUAGGGGCAGAAGAAGCACCGGCCAACUACGUGCCAGCAGCCGCGGUAAUACGUAGGGUGCAAGCGUUGUCCGGAAUUAUUGGGCGUAAAGAGCUCGUAGGCGGUGUGUCGCGUCGGCUGUGAAAGCCCGGGGCUCAACUCCGGGUCUGCAGUCGAUACGGGCA